rnacentral:rRNA from 1 species
GACGUAGGGCGCGAGCGUUGUCCGGAUUUAUUGGGCGUAAAGAGCUCGUAGGCGGCUUGUCGCGUCGUCCGUGAAAACUUGGGGCUCAACCCCAAGCUUGCGGUCGAUACGGGCAGGCUAGAGUUCGGUAGGGGAGACUGGAAUUCCUGGUGUAGCGGUGGAAAUGACGCAGAUAUCAGGAGGAACACCCGGUGGCGAAGGCGGGCUCUG